UACGAAGGGGGCUAGCGUUGUUCGGAAUUACUGGGCGUAAAGCGCGCGCAGGCGGUCUUCCAAGUCAGUGGUGAAAGCCCGGAGCUCAACUCCGGAACUGCCAUUGAAACUGUGAGACUUGAGUAUGAGAGAGGUGAGUGGAAUUCCCAGUGUAGAGGUGAAAUUCGUAGAUAUUGGGAAGAACACCGGUGGCGAAGGCGGCGACCUGGUCCUUGACUGACGCUGAGGCGCGAAAGCGUGGGGAGCAAACAGG
rnacentral:rRNA from 1 species